rnacentral:lncRNA from 1 species
AAGGCUUUUAGUGGGGUGGUGAGCAUUGUUGCAGAACAUCAUAUUUGAUGUGUAACCUUAUCCUUGGGUUGGAGUUCAGAACUACAUAGAUUAUUAUUAUUCUAUCACCAUGUUCGAUUCAUGUUGACCGCAUAUUCAAGAUUCAGAUUUGAAGGUACAUAGAAACAACUCAGGAAAUCUUUUACUUAUAUCCAUACACCUGUGGCAUAUUUUUUGUAUGUUUUAUGGUAGAUUUUUCCUCAUUCGAAUGUUGUAGGCAUAUAAAAGAAGUGGGAAAAAUAUGCUUCUCCUGUCCUUUUUACUGUGAAUGAACUUAUAUAAGGGGGUUAAAACUAGUUCAAACUAUAUGACACUGUUGUUACAACAACAACAAAGCCUUAUCCACUAAGUGAGGUUGGCUACAUGGAUCAAACUACGCAUAAUGUUCUAAAAGAAACGUAUUUCUAUCCAACCUCAGGUCAGGUUCUGUUUGGUAAAAAGUAAAAAAUGUGAGAUAUCUCGUAAGUUAGCUGAUAGUGGAUAAACUAAGUAAUUGAAUAAUUGAAUUUGUAGGGUUUGGUAAAAUUAGCGGCUGAGCUAAUUGCAAAAUAUGAAAUGACAUAAAAAGAUAUUUUAAAAUAAUGAUUUUUUUCCCAAUUAAAGUAACAAGGAUAAAAUUGAGAUAAAAAUGUUAAACUACAAAAUGUUUGAAAUAGUUUAUCAAUAAACGCAAUAAACUAGUAAUUAAAAGCUGUAAGCUUAUUAGAAAAAAUUGCUUCCAAAUAACUCUAUUAUGGCACAAAAAUUUGCCUUGACUUAACAGAGCUUAAUCAAUAACUUGGCAGAACUAUUUUGUUCUGUUUUUUUUGGUCUGUCCUCCAUAUUUCCUCUUCAAACCAAUGUUUACUUUUUUAGAAUGCAGGUUGCGACAGUUUCUGCAAGUUUCCUUGAUUUCAUGAUUUCUCAUGUUUUUUUACCGAGGUACGUUACUUUCAGACAAUUUCUCUAUUUUGCCAAUAGUUCAAUAAAGCAUUUGUAUGCAUUUUGAUGGAGUUUGUAUGCCAUUGUUGAUAACUCUUUUUAUGUUUUAAUAAUUAUCAUUUUGUUUGUAACCUGUUUUUGUCCUCUAUUUUGGAGCACUGAUUUUUUUUUCAAGCACUUUUUUUCCACCCAUGAUUGGUUAAAAUCUCAAAAAAUGUUAUAUCUUAAAACGAACAGAGUGUAGUGAAAUGAAAUAGAGAUUUCACUAUAUUGUUUAAAUGUUUUAUGAUGGAGCAUAACAAAUUUAUCAUUCUACCCAAAUCGAAGGAGAAGAAAAGUGGUAUCAUGUGAUGGAAUGGAAUAAAUACUACUCCAUCUAAUGUGUCAUACUAGUGUUGGACAAGUUGAUUGAAAGUACAUUUAUUUUCUUCCUCAUUGUUCUUAAUUCCUAUGACUACUUGAAGGGUGUACAACAGUACUAAGCCAAAGACAAUAGUUCAAUUUUAUAAAUAAAAUUUAGAACACAAACCGUGCGAGAUGUGGUUAUCAGUUCUCACUCACUUUUGAGUGUUCGAUCAUUUUCAGACAAAAGUUGUUCCAUUAUCAAGGAGCUUACUUCUUGAAUAGACUCAAAUACUUCAUUUAAUUAGUUCUAAAGUUUCAAACUUCACUAGUGAUCUUGUACAAAGCAGAAUCAACCAUGCCCUGAAAUUCCUUUAGAAAAUCCACAAAGACAUGUGUUUCUUCGUCCUUGUUUCCAUCCAGCAAAUUUUGGCCUUUCACAACUGCAGUAUAGAUCUUCAAUUUGUCAACAGGGGAAAUCAAAGAACUAACAUCAUUAUCAGCAAUUACUUUCCUCACAUGGCAAAGAUAAUCAUUCAAAUCAUUUAUUGCUUUAACUUUCUCCUCAAGUUUCUUCUCUUCAGCCUUAAAAUUCUCAGCUUCUUGAAUCAUUCUCUCAGGUUUUUCAGUUGAUAGGCUUUCUGUUUCAUUCAUUAUUGUAAUAUCUUUCUUAUUACCACUGGUUUCUUCCUCUGCAGCCAAGUUUAAUAUACCAUCUGCAUCUAUUGCAAAGUAUACUUGGAUAGGAAGACCGCGUGGUGCAAGAGGAAGUGAGAGAGAAAACACACCAA